UCCAGGUUAUCCCUGGCGGUCUCCUGCGAGUUCCCAACUAAAUGAUGGCAACAUAGGACGAGGGUUGCGCUCGUUGCGGGACUUAACCCAACACCUCGCGGCACGAGCUGACGACAGCCAUGCAGCACCUGUGCUGGCUUCCCCUUGCGGGGAUCGUUGCCUUUUCAGGUUUCUACUACCAGCAUGUCAAGCCCAGGUAAGGUUCUUCGCGUUGCGUCGAAUUGAACCACAUGCUCCACCGCUUGUGCGGGCCCCCGUCAAUUCCUUUGAGUUUCAACCUUGCGGCCGUACUCCCCAGGCGGGGCACUUAAUGCGUUAGCUGCGGCACCGAAGGGCUCAAUACCUCCGACACUUAGUGCCCAUAGUUUAGGGCGUGGACUAC
rnacentral:misc_RNA from 1 species